rnacentral:rRNA from 1 species
AGUGAACGCUGGCGGCGUGCCUAAUACAUGCAAGUCGAACGAAGUGGCGCACGGGUGAGUAAUAUAUAUUUAAUCUGCCCUACACAGAGGAACAACAGUUGGAAACGCCUGCUAAUACCUCAUAGUGUAGGAUGAUACUAUAUCGUAUCAGCUAGUUGGUAAGGUAAUGGCUUACCAAGGCUAUGAAGCGUAACUGGUCUGAGAGGAUGAUCAGUCAAAUUGGAACGGAGACACGGUCCAAAAUCCUACGGGAGGCAGCAGUAAGGAAUAUUGCGAAAUGGGCGAAACCCUGACGCAGCAACGCCGCGUGGAGCAUGACACUUUGCGGAGCGUAAACUCCUUUUAUCAUGAAAGCGGUACCUGAUGAAUAAGCACCGGCUAACUCCGUGCCAGCAGCCACGGUAAUUC